UUUCCGCACAAGGAAAUUACAUCCUGAAAUCUCUCAGUGUCAUGUGGAAAAUUUACCCUUAGGCCAUGCUGCUUCUCAGGAUGUGAUCAUCUACAAUGGGCACCGAGAGUGAGACUGCUGAUUUGGCAUCGGAAGGAUAGUUACACCCUGGGCAGAUUGUGGACAGAAAUAUAUAUUUCAACCAGAAAAAUCCUUUCAAUAA